rnacentral:rRNA from 1 species
UACGGGGGGGGCAAGCGUUGUUCGGAAUUACUGGGCGUAAAGGGCUCGUAGGUGGCCAACUAAGUCAGACGUGAAAUCCCUCGGCUUAACCGGGGAACUGCGUCUGAUACUGGAUGGCUUGAGUUUGGGAGAGGGACGCGGAAUUCCAGGUGUAGCGGUGAAAUUCGUAGAUAUCGGGAGGAACACCGGUGGCGAAGGCGGCGACCUGGGUAGAUACUGACGCUGAGGUGCGAAAGCGUGGGGAGCAAACAGG